CGCAGCCGCGGUAAUUCCAGCUCCAAUAGCGUAUAUUAAAGUUGUUGCAGUUAAAAAGCUCGUAGUUGAAUUUCGGGAUCAGUAGGUUGGUCAUGCCUCUGGUAUGUACUGGUCUCACUGGUUCCUCCUUCCUGAUGAACCGUAAUGCCAUUAAUUUGGUGUUGCGGGGGAGACUGGACUGUUACUUUUGAAAAAAAUUAGAGUGUUUAAAGCAGGCUUACGCUUGAAUACAUUAGCAUGGAAUAAUGAAAUAGGACGUUCGAUCCUAUUUUGUUGGUUUUCUAGGAUUGACGUAAUGAUUAAUAGGGAUAGUUGGGGGCAUUAGUAUUCAAUUGUCAGAGGUGAAAAUUCUUGGAUUUAUUGAAGACUAACUACUGCGAAAAGCAUUUGCCAAGGAUGUUUUCAUUAAUCAAGAACGAAAGUUAGGGGAUCGAAGACGAUCAGAUACCGUCGUAGUCUUAACCAUAAACUAUGCCGACUAGGGAUCGGAUGAUGUUAAUUUUUUAAUGUACUCAUUCGG
rnacentral:rRNA from 1 species